GGGCGCGUAGUUCAACGGAUAGAAUGUCGGGUUUCGGCCCCGAGGAUCUAGGUUCGAUUCCUAGCGCGCUCG
rnacentral:tRNA from 1 species